AAGACUAUGCUUUCAGGGAUCAUUUCUAUAGUUGGUAACUAGAGAAAUGUGUCUGAAAGUGUUUGGUCUUGCUGGCCACGAGGACGAGUUGUGGUGCCCUUCCCUGAGCCUGAGGUGGGUGGGUGGUGCUGCUCUGUGGUGCUGUCUGUCAUUGAUGACUGUUCCACCCCUUUGGGGUUGGAGAGGGAGGGCGUGGACUGAGUGGU